rnacentral:rRNA from 1 species
UACGUAGGGUGCGAGCGUUGCCCGGAUUUAUUGGGCGUAAAGGGCGCGUAGGCGGCUCUUCACGUCCGUUGUGAAAUCGCCCGGCUCAACUGGGCGGGGUCAGCGGAUACGGCGGAGCUUGAGCAAGCUAGGGGGCAAUGGAAUUCCCGGUGUAGUGGUGGAAUGCGUAGAUAUCGGGAGGAACACCAGUGGCGAAGGCGGCCAUCUGGGACAACACUGACGCUGAAGCACGAAAGCGUGGGGAGCAAACAGG